UGCAGCAACGCCGCGUGAGGGAUGACGGCCUAUCGGGUUGUAAACCUCUUUUAGUAGGGAAGAAGCGAAAGUGACGGUACCUGCAGAAAAAGCACCGGCUAACUACGUGCCAGCAGCCGCGGUAAUACGUAGGGUGCAAGCGUUAUCCGGAAUUAUUGGGCGUAAAGAGCUCGUAGGCGGUCUGUCGCGUCUGCUGUGAAAUCUGGGGGCUCAACCCCCAGCCUGCAGUGGGUACGGGCAGACUAGAGUGCGGUAGGGGAGAUUGGAACUCCUGGUGUAGCGGUGGAAUGCGCAGAUAUCAAGAAGAACACCGAUGGCGAAGGCAGAUCUCUGGGCCGUAACUGACGCUGAGGAGCGAAAGCAUGGGGAGCGAACAGGAUUAGAUACCCUGGUAGUCCAUGCCGUAAACGUUGGGAACUAGAUGUAGGGGCCAUUCCACGGUUUCUGUGUCGCAGCUAACGCAUUAAGUUCCCCGCCUGGGGAGUACGGCCGCAAGGCUAAAACUCAAAGGAAUUGACGGGGGCCCGCACAAGCGGCGGAGCAUGCGGAUUAAUUCGAUGCAACGCGAAGAACCUUACCAAGGCUUGACAUAUACCGGAAAAGGCUAGAAAUAGUCUCCCCGCAAGGU
rnacentral:rRNA from 1 species